rnacentral:rRNA from 1 species
AUUGAACGCUGGCGGCAGGCCUAACACAUGCAAGUCGAACGAGUGGCGGACGGGUGAGUAAUGUCCGGGAAACUGCCCGAUGGAGGGGGAUGACUACUGGAAACGGUAGCUAAUACCGCAUACCAUCGGAUGUGCACAGAUGGGAUGGGCUAGUAGGUGGGGUAACGGCUCACCUAGGCGACGAUCCCUAGCUGGUCUGAGAGGAUGACCAGCCACACUGGAACUGAAACACGGUCCAGACUCCAACGUGUGGAAGCAGUGGGGAAUAUUGGCCAAUGAGCGCAAUCCGAAUGCGGCCAUGCGGCGUGUAUGAAGAGGGCCUCCGGGUGGUAAAGUAUUUUCAGCGAGGAGGCGGUACUCGCAGAAGAAGCACCGGCUAACUCCGUGCCAGCAGCCGCGGUAAUUC